rnacentral:rRNA from 1 species
AGUGAACGCUGGCGGCGGGCUUAACACAUGCAAGUCGAACGAGAACGGAUUAUAGCUUGCUAUAAUUGUCAGCUAAGUGGCGCACGGGUGAGUAAUGUAUAGGUAAUAUGCCUCUUACUAAGGGAUAACAAAUGGAAACGUUUGCUAAUACCUUAUACUCCUUAUUAACAGAAGUUAAUAAGGGAAAGAUUUAUUGGUAAGAGAUUAGCCUGUAUUGUAUCAGUUAGUUGGUGGGGUAAUGGCCUACCAAGACUAUGACACAUAACUGGUUUGAGAGGAUGAUCAGUCACUGGAACUGAGACACGGUCCAGACUCCUACGGGAGGCAGCAGUGGGGAAUAUUGCACAAUGGACGAAAGUCUGAUGCAGCAACGCCGCGUGGAGGAUGACACAUUUCGGUGCGUAAACUCCUUUUAUAUGAGAAGAUAAUGACGGUAUUAUAUGAAUAAGCACCGGCUAACUCCGUGCCAGCCGCCGCCGUAA